AUAUUGAUGGAUAAACACCAGAGAACUGUUUGAUGAUGUAUGGAUGUUGUAAUUGGUGAUGAGGAAAACUGUUUGGUGUAUCUGUUACUCUUUGUUUUCAGGGAUUUGAAUUUCUCUCGUUUGUUGUUUUUCGAGUCCGAGUCCGACUAUGGUUCAGUCGUUAACUGCAUUGUGGUAUCCUUGUUUGCUUUGUUCCCCAUCUCAUUUGUGUUCAUUGAAAGCUCACUGCAAAUUCCGUUAGAGCUUUAUAGUCAAUCACAUGUAACAUUCCUCCUGUUAGAGGCCUUGAGCUUUUCUUAAUCACUUUUUUAGUGCUCAUGCUUGAAAUUAUAAGAUUCAUAUCAAUUCAAGCAAUAUAUAAACCUCAGAUUUAAAUAAAAUUAAGAAUAAGAACGAACUGUGUUACUUGGGGGAGAGCGGCAGCCUUGCAGUCCUCAAUUUCGUUAUAGGGGGAGAACGCGGGGAGGGUGUCGGUUUUCAGAGAUCAGAACUAGCUAUUCACUCUUCACGUAUCUGCAGGAUUAAAGUAUUAGUUAUAAUUUCAAGGGACAAAGAGUCAAAGACCUAUCCUCAACUAACUUUUAACAUAUGCCCCCAAGUGAAGAUUUAAUGAACGGUGCUUCAGCGUCAGGUAACUUAAGGGCAGCUUUCUCCCAUUGCGUACAGCAAGUGCGAAGUUAUGAUUAUCAUCACUAUCUUUGCCUCCUGGAGCUGCCUCCGGCCAUGCGGAAAGCUGCAUUUGCAUUCCGUGCCUUGAAUGUUGAAACAGCUAGAGCUAUGGAUAUUGCUUCAGAUCCCAGGAUUGGCCUUAUGCGUCUUGUCUGGUGGCAGGAAGCCAUAGACAAAAUGUUUGCCAAUAAAUUGAUUGAACACCCAACAGCACAGGCGCUGUCAUCUGUGAUAGCUGAGACCAGACUCAGCAAGAUAUGGUUGAAACGAUCCGUUGAGGCUCGGAUCAAUGAUGCAAGAAGAGAGGUUACUGACAUGCCAGAAACUAUUGGAGAGUUGGAGAAAUACGCCGAGGACACUGUCUCAACCAUGCUGUACCUGACACUUCAAGCAGGUGGUAUAAAGUCUACUGCAGCUGAUCAUGCAGCCUCACAUAUCGGCAAGGCCAGUGGCAUUCUCUUGCUCCUCAAAUCACUGCCCUACCAUGCAUCUCGCAACCGACAUUUUUCGUACAUCCCAACUGCAAUAGCAUCCAAGCAUGGGCUAAUAGUUAAGCAAGAAAAUGGGGAAGAGAGGUGGGUGGAUUCUCGUGAGGGUCUUUGUGAUGCCGUUUAUGAUAUGGCAUCAGUGGCCAAUGCACACUUAGAAAAGGCUCGGAAGUUAGCUGCAAGUGUGCCUGCUGAGGCUCUUCCAGUGCUCCUUCCAGCAGUGCCUUCUCAGGUUCUUUUGGAUUCCUUAAGAAAGGUCCAAUUUGAUGUGUUUGAUCCAAGACUCACAGGAGGGGUGCUGGGAAUACCACCUUUGUGGUACCAUCUCAAACUCAAGUGGACUUCAUGGAGAAGGAAAUACUAACCUGACCAAGCUUUAGAAUUAGGGACUAACUCAAAUCUAUUUAAACAUGCAAGAAGAUUGAACUCCUGAUUGUAUUGAGGAAGAUUCGUCAGUUUCUAUCCAUGGAACCUAAAAAAUAGAUUCAAGCAAAGUCUCGUUCCGACAAAAUACAUGCAUCAGCUUAUUUCAUAUCAGUAGUUUGUUAAUUACUCUUCUUUGAUGUUGUUAUGUUAUGUUUACUUAAGAAUGGGAUAAUGGAUAACUAGUGAUACUAGUUGGAAUUUUUAGAGAGAGAAAAAGACCACUGUUUUAGUAGAGAAAGAAAAAGAAAAAUUGAUUUUUUUUGUGUUCGAACUAUUUAUCCAAAAGUAGAAAGAAAGAUAUGGGAGGAGAUUCUUAAAAAAGUGUAUCUAUGUUUGGUGGAUGUGAGUACUCCAAAACUAUGAUAUUCUAAAAAUGCCAAAAAGAAAACCUCCUAUGCUUAAAGAUUA